rnacentral:rRNA from 1 species
CGGGUUGCAGCAGUGGGGAAUUUUGGACAAUGGGCGCAAGCCUGAUCCAGCCAUGCCGCGUGCGGGAAGAAGGCCUUCGGGUUGUAAACCGCUUUUGUCAGGGAAGAAACGUCCUGGGUUAAUAACCUGGGGUAAUGACGGUACCUGAAGAAUAAGCACCGGCUAACUACGUGCCAGCAGCCGCGGUAAUACGUAGGGUGCGAGCGUUAAUCGGAAUUACUGGGCGUAAAGCGUGCGCAGGCGGUUAUGCAAGACAGAUGUGAAAUCCCCGGGCUCAACCUGGGAACUGCAUUUGUGACUGCAUAGCUAGAGUACGGUAGAGGGGGAUGGAAUUCCGCGUGUAGCAGUGAAAUGCGUAGAUAUGCGGAGGAACACCGAUGGCGAAGGCAAUCCCCUGGACCUGUACUGACGCUCAUGCACGAAAGCGUGGGGAGCAAACAGGAUUAGAUACCCGGGU